UGGGGAAUAUUGGGCAAUGGGCGAAAGCCUGACCCAGCAACGCCGCGUGAAGGAAGAAGGCCUUCGGGUUGUAAACUUCUUUGACCAGGGACGAAGAAUGACGGUACCUGGAAAACAAGCCACGGCUAACUACGUGCCAGCAGCCGCGGUAAUACGUAGGUGGCGAGCGUUGUCCGGAUUUACUGGGUGUAAAGGGCGUGUAGGCGGGAAUGCAAGUCAGAUGUGAAACCCAUGGGCUCAACCCAUGGCCUGCAUUUGAAACUGUGUUUCUUGAGUGAUGGAGAGGCAGGCGGAAUUCCUCGUGUAGCGGUGAAAUGCAUAGAUAUGAGGAGGAACACCAGUGGCGAAGGCGGCCUGCUGGACAUUAACUGACGCUGAGGCGCGAAAGCGUGGGGAGCAAACAGG
rnacentral:rRNA from 2 species